rnacentral:tRNA from 1 species
CUUUAACACUGUGAGUUGUGGUUUGCUUAUCGUUAGGGAUAGCUGGUGUAGGAGA